CCUACGGGAGGCAGCAGUAGGGAAUAUUGCUCAAUGGGGGAAACCCUGAAGCAGCAACGCCGCGUGGAGGAUGAAGGUUUUCGGAUUGUAAACUCCUUUUGUUAGAGAAGAUAAUGACGGUCUCUAAAGAAUAAGCACCGGCUAACUCCGUGCCAGCAGCCGCGGUAAUACGGAGGGUGCAAGCGUUACUCGGAAUCACUGGGCGUAAAGAGCGCGUAGGCGGGAUAGCAAGUCAGAUGUGAAAUCCUAUGGCUUAACCAUAGAACUGCAUUUGAAACUGUUAGUCUAGAGGAUGGGAGAGGUAGGUGGAAUUCUUGGUGUAGGGGUAAAAUCCGUAGAGAUCAAGAGGAAGACUCAUUGCGAAGGCGACCUGCUAGAACAUAACUGACGCUGAUGCGCGAAAGCGUGGGGAGCAAACAGGAUUAGAUACCCCAGUAGUC
rnacentral:rRNA from 1 species